rnacentral:rRNA from 1 species
CCUACGGGCGGCUGCAGUGGGGAAUAUUGCACAAUGGGCGCAAGCCCGAUGCGGCCAUGCCGCGUGUGUGAAGAAGGCCUUCGGGUUGUAAAGCACUUUCAGCGGGGAGGAAGGCGUUAAGGUUAAUAACCUUGGCGAUUGACGUUACCCGCAGAAGAAGCACCGGCUAACUCCGUGCCAGCAGCCGCGGUAAUACGGAGGGUGCGAGCGUUAAUCGGAAUUACUGGGCGUAAAGCGCACGCAGGCGGCCUGUCAAGUCGGAUGUGAAAUCCCCGGGCUCAACCUGGGAACUGCAUUCGAAACUGGCAGGCUAGAGUCUUGUAGAGGGGGGUAGAAUUCCAGGUGUAGCGGUGAAAUGCGUAGAGAUCUGGAGGAAUACCGGUGGCGAAGGCGGCCCCCUGGACAAAGACUGACGCUCAGGUGCGAAAGCGUGGGGAGCAAACAGGAUUAGAUACCCCAGUAGUC